GGUGCUUUAGAAAUGAACGGAUGAGACGAGGAUGCCUUGGCGGGUGAAAACGAGGCAGAUGGAGAGGAGUAGUUGGGACCCCGCAGCAAGUCCGGAGCAAAAAUGCAGAAGGGGAGAAUCGAUCAAGAGGAGGGAGCCAAGCGACAGAAGCCUUAUUUCCCGGAUCUGUCAUGCUUAUGCUGCCCAGCCUAAAGAUUCUGGAUGGUGUACAAACCAGCAAUAUCAAAGAUGCAUCUGGCAAGAAGACUUCAUAAGUAAAACAGUAUUGAAAACAUAACUAACAUUACUGAAGUGUUAUUGCAGCUUUUAAUGCAAACCAUCCUGAGAUACUUCAGCAUCUAAGCCAAUAUAUGAAUGUGCAGAAGGAAGGAAGCACUGUGUGAAGACUAUUUUCUCUCAUCUCUCACCAUGUUUAAUCUGCCAUUAUGUAGCUUCAUUGGAUGAUCCUGACAAGAGGACAAGAAAAGCUUUUUCUUAUUUGCUUUCUCCAUGUAUAAUGUGUUACAAGCAAACACCCCUUUUUCCUCUUCUCCAGUCUCUACAACUCCAUAUGCUGCAUUUGUUCCUCCAGGGGAGCAGCUUCAGCCACUUGUUCAUUUUGGUGGGCCUGAUUUGCAACUUUCUUAGUCCUUUACUGUCUUUUGGGUACCAAGAAUAGAAUUGAACACGGUGGCUUAGCCAUGUUUUAAGCCUGGCUUCUUGAAUAAACAA